GCGGGGAUACCCAAGUGGUCAACGGGGCAGGAUGUUUGAUCCUGUGCGUUAGUCGCUUCGCCGGUUCGAAUCCGGCUCCCCGCA
rnacentral:tRNA from 1 species